rnacentral:rRNA from 1 species
ACAGAGGGUGCGAGCGUUGUUCGGAAUUAUUGGGCGUAAAGGGCGCGUAGGCGGUGCGGUAAGUCACCUGUGAAAUCUCCUGGCUCAACUGGGAGCUUGCAGGCGAAACUGCAUCGCUAGAGUGUCGGAGGGGAAGGCGGAAUUCCCGGUGUAGAGGUGAAAUUCGUAGAUAUCGGGAGGAACACCAGUGGCGAAGGCGGCCUUCUGGACGAACACUGACGCUGAGACGCGAAAGCGUGGGUAGCAAACAGGA